CAGACUGCCAGCGGCUGAUACAGGCUACAUUCCAUUCCAGCAGCUCUUCCCUUCAAGCCCUAGCUAAUCUGAAGAAAAAGCUUACAGGCCACACAGAGGGGAAAAAAAGAUUUCCCCCCAGAGUCUGGGCUUGGUGCUUUGCAGUGCUGGCGACCUAUUCCCUUUGACGAUCCCUAGGUGGAGAUGGGGCAUGAGGAUCCUCCAGGGGAAUAGCUCACCACCACUGGGCAACAGGCCUAGCCCCGAUUUCAGUGAGACACUUUCCAGAACCCAGCAAGGAAGACAAAGGCUCAAAGACAGCUAGCCACCCUACAUCAAAAUAGGACAAAAGCUGCCACAAUAGUGGCACCGACCUCAGGAGGAAGCCAUUCUGCUCUAUUUGGUUCUCCCUGGAAGCUAGGAGAAUGCUGCCAGCUGUUUACACACUUCAAGAUGCACUCUGCUACCCUACCAGUAAUACACAAUGCCAUCUACCAAAUAUCACCCUUCCCCAAAGCAGCACAGAAAACUGAACCUUCAGCACGAUCAAGAAAUGUAAACACAUGGAAGAAUGCCAGCUUUACAUACGACCAGAGGAUCAACAUGUCUGACUUAGCAUCCUAAGGGCAACAG